rnacentral:rRNA from 1 species
AGAGUUUGAUCCUGGCUCAGAACGAACGCUGGCGGCAUGCUUAACACAUGCGAGUCGAACGAAGGCUUCGGCCUUAGUGGCGCACGGGUGAGUAACGCGUGGGAACCUGCCUCUUGGUUUGGAAUAACUGCGGGAAACUGCAGCUAAUACCGGAUACGUCGGUUGUCUGUGGUGGACGAUCGGGAAAGAUUUAUCGCCGAGAGAGGGGCCCGCGUUCGAUUAGGUAGUUGGUGAGGUAACGGCUCACCAAGCCUACGAUCGAUAGCUGGUCUGAGAGGAUGAUCAGCCACACUGGGACUGAGACACGGCCCAGACUCCUACGGGAGGCAGCAGUGGGGAAUAUUGGACAAUGGGCGCAAGCCUGAUCCAGCAAUGCCGCGUGAGUGAUGAAGGCCUUAGGGUUGUAAAGCUCUUUCGGCGGGGACGAUGAUGACGGUACCCGCAGAAGAAGCCCCGGCUAACUUCGUGCCAGCAGCCGCGGUAAUACGAAGGGGGCUAGCGUUGUUCGGAAUUACUGGGCGUAAAGGGCGCGUAGGCGGCGAAGCAAGUUAGGCGUGAAAGCCCCGGGCUCAACCUGGGAAUUGCGCUUGAUACUGCUUUGCUUGAGUUCGGGAGAGGUGAGUGGAAUCCCCAGUGUAGAGGUGAAAUUCGUAGAUAUUGGGAAGAACACCGGUGGCGAAGGCGGCUCACUGGACCGAUACUGACGCUGAGGCGCGAAAGCGUGGGGAGCAAACAGGAUUAGAUACCCUAGUAGUCC